rnacentral:lncRNA from 1 species
AGAAGUCAAUUCAAAGGACCUGCCCCCAGAGAGAGAAACUCUUUUGAGAAAAUGGAGGAAAUGUGCUUAAUUCUGGACACUGUUUAUCAGUUCUUUCAAACAAAUCUAAUGCUGUUACGUCUAGAAUGCCACAUGCCCAUCCUUUCUGUCAUCAACCUGGAAAAGAACAACAACAAAUAUUUUAACCUCUUCCUCGUCUAAAUCUACUU